rnacentral:rRNA from 1 species
GACGUAGGGGGCCAGCGUUGUUCGGAAUUACUGGGUGUAAAGGGUUCGUAGGCGGUGCGGCAAGUUGGGAGUGAAAUCUCUGGGCUUAACCCAGAGGCUGCUUCCAAAACUGCUGUGCUUGAGUGUGGGAGAGGCGCGUGGAAUUGCAGGUGUAGCGGUGAAAUGCGUAGAUAUCUGCAGGAACACCCGUGGCGAAAGCGGCGCGCUGGACCACUACUGACGCUAAGGAACGAAAGCUAGGGGAGCAAACAGG